AGGGUACAGAGGGGUGGUGGGGACUCAGCUCCAGACAAACAGAGAGUAAUUAAAUCAUGUAAGGUCCUGCUCACCCUUGAGUAUUUCAGGAUACAGGAAUUCUGAUUCUAAAAUCACCUCCACUUGUAUUGGUUUAUCCUAUUGGGACACUUUGUUAUUUGAGAGCUACCAUGAAGAUUCAUUACCUUUUCAUGGCUCUUGUCUUCACUGUCCUGGUGCUCACCUCAGGUACUGAUGAUGAUCAUGAAGUCAAUAGUAUCCUGGACUGCAAAAAUCAAACCCUGUGUAAUUCCAAAAAUGUGACUGGACACUGCUCUGAGGUUAAGGUGGUCGAAAUGUGUGUCUUGCAUCUUAGGAAAACUCCAAAGCAACUACCCUUAAUGCUAUAAAAAUUAAGGCAGGAUGAUCAAUUCUCUUGUCUUAUUAAAAAACUAAGUCUGCUUCUC